UACGUAGGGUGCGAGCGUUAAUCGGAAUUACUGGGCGUAAAGUGUGCGCAGGUGGCUUCGCAAGUCGAGUGUGAAAUCCCCGGGCUUAACCUGGGAAUUGCGCUCGAAACUACGGAGCUGGAGUAUGGCAGAGGGAGGUGGAAUUCCACGUGUAGCGGUGAAAUGCGUAGAUAUGUGGAGGAAUACCGAUGGCGAAGGCAGCCUCCUGGGCCAACACUGACGCUCAUGCACGAAAGCGUGGGGAGCAAACAGG
rnacentral:rRNA from 1 species